CGGUUUCUUUCUCAACACUUCACUUAUGACAUAACCGAGAGAAUACUUGCCGAGACAGACUUCUAUAUGGCCAUGUAUGAGCACAGAGAGACACUGACCUGCACUGACAGUGACAGCGCUGACAAACUGUUCUCUCCAGCUACUGCUGCCCACCACAAGCGCCAGCCAUUUGCGUUUUUGCAUUCAGAGGGCUGCAGAUAAUCUUAGAGGGAGUAAUACAGUGUUUCCACCUCAAAUCUCUUCUAAAUCCCUGAGCUACCUGACCCCAGUGACCUUUAGUAUUGAGACUGUCACCAUGGAAACGAGGAGGACUUACCUUAAACUCAUAGGAUUCCUCUAUGACCACCUCCAGUUUGGUGUGCUCUCCCAGACUCGGACACCCCAUCUUGGCCACCUCCUCUUCCUCAGCCCCCACCGCCGGUUUGUUAUCAUUAGAGUCA